CGACGGACUCAUAUUGAAACCUAGUGAUUUAUGAGUUAGUGGCGGACGGGUGAGUAACGCGUGGAAAACCUGCCGUAUACCGGGGGAUAACACUUAGAAAUAGGUGCUAAUACCGCAUAAGCGCACAGCUUCGCAUGAAGCAGUGUGAAAAACUCCGGUGGUAUACGAUGGUUCCGCGUCUGAUUAGCUAGUUGGCGGGGUAACGGCCCACCAAGGCAGCGAUCAGUAGCCGGCCUGAGAGGGUGAACGGCCACAUUGGGACUGAGACACGGCCCAAACUCCUACGGGAGGCAGCAGUGGGGAAUAUUGCACAAUGGGGGAAACCCUGAUGCAGCGACGCCGCGUGAGUGAAGAAGUAUUUCGGUACGUAAAGCUCUAUCAGCAGGGAAGAAAAUGACGGUACCUGACUAAGAAGCCCCGGCUAACUACGUGCCAGCAGCCGCGGUAAUACGUAGGGGGCAAGCGUUAUCCGGAUUUACUGGGUGUAAAGGGAGCGUAGACGGCAGCGCAAGUCUGGAGUGAAAUGCCGGGGCCCAACCCCGGAACUGCUUUGGAAACUGUGCAGCUUGAGUGCGGGAGAGGUAAGUGGAAUUCCUAGUGUAGCGGUGAAAUGCGUAGAUAUUAGGAGGAACACCAGUGGCGAAGGCGGCUUACUGGACCGUAACUGACGUUGAGGCUCGAAAGCGUGGGGAGCAAACAGGAUUAGAUACCCUGGUAGUCCACGCCGUAAACGAUGAUUACUAGGUGUCGGGGGACCAAGGUCCUCCGGUGCCGGCGCAAACGCAUUAAGUAAUC
rnacentral:rRNA from 1 species